UACGUAGGGUGCGAGCGUUGUCCGGAAUUAUUGGGCGUAAAGAGCUCGUAGGCGGCUUGUCGCGUCGGAUGUGAAAGCCCGGGGCUUAACUCCGGGUCUGCAUUCGAUACGGGCAGGCUAGAGUUCGGUAGGGGAGAUCGGAAUUCCUGGUGUAGCGGUGAAAUGCGCAGAUAUCAGGAGGGACACCGGUGGCGAAGGCGGAUCUCUGGGCCGAUACUGACGCUGAGGAGCGAAAGCGUGGGGAGCGAACAGG
rnacentral:rRNA from 1 species